rnacentral:rRNA from 1 species
AUACGGAGGAUCCGAGCGUUAUCCGGAUUUAUUGGGUUUAAAGGGAGCGUAGGCGGACGCUUAAGUCAGUUGUGAAAGUUUGCGGCUCAACCGUAAAAUUGCAGUUGAUACUGGGUGUCUUGAGUACAGUAGAGGCAGGGGGAAUUCGUGGGGUAGCGGUGAAAUGCUUAGAUAUCACGAAGAACUCCGACUGCGAAGGCAGCCUGCUGGACUGUAACUGACGCUGAUGCUCGAAAGUGUGGGUAUCAAACAGGAUUAGAUACCCUGGUAGUCCACACAGUAAACGAUGAAUACUCGCUGUUUGCGAUAUACAGUAAGCGGCCAAGCGAAAGCGUUAAGUAUUCCACCUGGGGAGUACGCCGGCAACGGUGAAACUCAAAUGAAUUGACGGGG